rnacentral:rRNA from 1 species
GACGAACGCUGGCGGCGUGCCUAAUACAUGCAAGUAGAACGCAGUUGCGAACGGGUGAGUAACGCGUAGGUAACUGCCUCAUAGCGGGGGAUAACUAUUGGAAACGAUAGCUAAUACCGCAUACUGUGAGAUGGACCUGCGUUGUUUUAGCUAGUUGGUGAGGUAAAGGCUCACCAAGGCGACGAUACAUAGCCGGCCUUGGGGGGGUGACGGGCACAACGUGAAUGAGAAAAGGGCCCGAACCCUACGGGAGGGAGCAGUUGGGGAUCUUUGGCAAUGGACGGAAGUCUUGACGCGCACAUCCGGGGGAGUGGAGAAGGGCUUCGGGUCGUAAAGCUCCGUUGUGAGUGAAGCGGUAACUAACCAGAAAGGAACGGCUAACUACGUGCCAGCAGCCGCGGUAAUUC